rnacentral:rRNA from 1 species
UAAGGAAUAUUGCUCAAUGGGAGAAAUCCUGAAGCAGCAACGCCGCGUGGAGGAUGAAGGGUCUAUGACUUGUAAACUCCUGUAAAGAAGGAAAAAAUUCCCAUUAGAUGGGAGAUGAUGGUACUUCUGGAGUAAGCCCCGGCUAACUACGUGCCAGCAGCCGCGGUAAUACGUAGGGGGCAAGCGUUGUCCGGAUUUACUGGGUGUAAAGGGUGCUCAGGCGGAUUUGUAAGUCAGAGGUGAAAUCUUACAGCUUAACUGUGAAACUGCCUUUGAUACUGCAACCCUAGAGUAUGGAAGAGAGUGAUGGAAUAUCUGGUGUAGCAGUGAAAUGCGUAGAUAUCAGAUAGAACACCAAUGGCGAAGGCAGUCACUUGGUCCAUUACUGACGCUAAAGCACGAAAGCGUGGGUAGCAAACA